GGCAGGGCUCAUAACCCUGCC
rnacentral:misc_RNA from 1 species